rnacentral:rRNA from 1 species
UGGGGAAUAUUGCACAAUGGGCGCAAGCCUGAUGCAGCCAUGCCGCGGGUGUGAAGAAGGCCUUCGGGUUGUAAAGCACUUUCAGCGGGGAGGAAGGCGUUAAGGUUAAUAACCUUGGCGAUUGACGUUACCCGCAGAAGAAGCACCCGCUAACUCCGUGCCAGCAGCCGCGGUAAUACGGAGGGUGCACGCGUUAAUCGGACUUACUGUGCGUAAAGCGCACGCAGGCGGUCUGUCAAGUCGGAUGUGAAAUCCCCGGGCUCAACCUGGGAACUGCAUUCGAAACUGGCAGGCUAGAGUCUUGUAGAGGGGGGUAGAAUUCCAGGUGUAGCGGUGAAAUGCGUAGAGAUCUGGAGGAAUACCGGUGGCGGAGGCGGCCCCCUGGACAAAGACUGACGCUCAGGUGCGAAAGCGUGGGGAGCAAACUGG